rnacentral:rRNA from 1 species
UGGAAGUAAAAAGUCGUAACAAGGUCUCCGUUGGUGAACCAGCGGAGGGAUCAUUACCGAGUUUACAACUCCCAAACCCCUGUGAACAUACCAAUUGUUGCCUCGGCGGAUCAGCCCGCUCCCGGUAAAACGGGACGGCCCGCCAGAGGACCCCUAAACUCUGUUUCUAUAUGUAACUUCUGAGUAAAACCAUAAAUAAAUCAAAACUUUCAACAACGGAUCUCUUGGUUCUGGCAUCGAUGAAGAACGCAGCAAAAUGCGAUAAGUAAUGUGAAUUGCAGAAUUCAGUGAAUCAUCGAAUCUUUGAACGCACAUUGCGCCCGCCAGUAUUCUGGCGGGCAUGCCUGUUCGAGCGUCAUUUCAACCCUCAAGCCCUCGGGUUUGGUGUUGGGGAUCGGCGAGCCCUUGCGGCAAGCCGGCCCCGAAAUCUAGUGGCGGUCUCGCUGCAGCUUCCAUUGCGUAGUAGUAAAACCCUCGCAACUGGUACGCGGCGCGGCCAAGCCGUUAAACCCCCAACUUCUGAAUGUUGACCUCGGAUCAGGUAGGAAUACCCGCUGAACUUAAGCAUAUCAAUAAGGCGG